AUGGCCUGAGGUCAGGAGUUCAAAACCAGCGUGGCCAACAAGAUGUGCCAGUUCUGGUAAAUUUCCUAGCAAGCUUGAAGGAAGUGAAGGACAACUGCAAGGAAGGGCAGGAUGGAGCAUGCAGCCCACGUAUUCCCCAGCUUGGUGGGGCAGAAUGCGUUCUUGGCUCCUGAGGAAUGGGCAGGCAACGCACAGGGGUCCUGGGAAGAAAGGGAGAGAAUAUCCUGGGAGAGCCAUAGACCCUGGCACCCUCCUGUGGUCCUUCAUCAGGAUAAAUUUCUAAAAGAAGAAUUACUGGCCAAAGGAUUCCUCUUCAGUUGGAAACAGCAGCAAAGUUCACAGGUCGUGAGUGGAUGUAAAGUGGACGGAACAGGUUGUUGCCAGUCUAUUGGAGUAGGAUGGUAGAUGAGCAGUCCCGUUGGCUAACAGGUGUGGGUAUGCCUGUUUUAAAAAUUAGCAUGUUGUAGGGGAAUAUUUCUCAAACUUUUGUCACGUAUCUACCUCUUAGGCAUUUUUUACUUUAUUCACCUGUACUACUAUUUAAUAUUUUUAAAAUUCAACUGAUUUUUUUUUUUGCUUAAAUACAUGUCUUUAAAACUGGAACUUUAUUCGCCACUGUAAAUGGAAAACCAGUGUCAUUUGCCAUAUAUAGAAGUGAACUAUAUAGUAAAUACGGUGAAAGUGAAAUGGUAUCAUCACACUUGUGCUAGAUUCCAUUUCCUAUAGAAGGUUCUGGGUUUCUUAAAAGGCUUGUUAAAAAGAGAGAUGAGUAAAUGUGAGAGGAAUUUAAGACAUACUAGCACCAUUAAGACUUUCUCCUUAAAGUAAUCUGGAGGAUUUAAAUUGAGAAUUGAAAAAAGUAACUUUAUUUUACAUAAGAAAUUAUGUAAAAGAAUUAUGUUAUUUAAUGCCACAUCCAUACGUCAUCAAGAGUCAACUUGGUGACCACUAGUGGCCCAUGUCCCACACUUUGAGAAACGUGUGUUGGGGUGGGAAUCUGAAGUCAGAAAAACUGGAGUAUGAUAACCACCUCAGCACUUAUUAGAGGCCUUCACUUGGGAAUGAUGACCCUUCCUUGUAGGGUUGUAGUGAGAAUGACAGAUAAUAUAUGAAAAGAUAAAACAUGGUGCCAGAGGCAUUAGCAGGUGCUGCGAAGGGGCUGUUGUAUUUCUUGUUAUACUGGAGUGGUUCUCCACCCUGGAUGCAUAUUAGAAUCAUCUGAAGGGCUUUUUAAAAAUACAGAUAUCAUGACCUCACCCCUGGAGAUCCUAAUUUAAUUGGUCAGGGGUAGGGUUCUGGCAUUGUUACUUGUUUAAAACAAAGUUCCUCCUCCUUCCCAGUGAUUUUAAUUUGUAGCCAGUGUUGGAAAAACCAUGGACUUAACCCUUUCCUAAGAGCUUAGAUCAAUUCUGCAGAUUAGCUAUCUGCCAUUUUGAAAAGGUGGCAUAAGCUCAGGGAAGUAUUCACUGGACAAAAGGAAUUCUGGAUGGCGGAAGCUCUAGGCACCAUCAGGCACUUGCUUUGUGCUGGAAGCUGCAUCAAAUGGCUUGAGCCCAAAGUAGACAUAAGGGCUCCUUAUUUCCCUGGACACUGGGAAAAUCAUUUCUCUUAUUCCAAGAGAACAAUUUUGCUGACCAUGGAAAUACUAUCUCUGGUUUCCAGAGGUACAGUGCUGUUCAGUGCUCUUCUGGAGGUUGUAGUAUGAAGAAAUGACAAAGCCAAAAAGGCAUUCUGACCUAGGGAGACUAUCUUUAAAGCAAAAUAUAAAUGUAGGGCAAAAACUCUGCGGUCUCAGGAGGAUUGGAUCCAGGGGAAAAUGUUUAAAAGGCAAACGUUUAGAAUCAAUUAUACAGCUUCAGCAAUGGUUUGCUAUUGUCUUGCUGUCUUUUUGUUUUGCUUUGUGUAGUGUUCAGAAUAUCUGCAUCAUGUAGCAUCUUUCUAUUUUUAGGAGUCUUUAAACUCCUUUAUUCUGAGGCCCCAGAAUAUUCUCAUCCACCACGUACUUUCACGUGGAGAUGACUGACUUCAUCUUUGACAAUGGCAGUUCCCUAACCUUGAUCCAGCACGGGAGCAGGAAUUAUGGCGAAAAUGGCCACCCAAACUGCACCCAGUGGGAAAACAGCAUUAACUCAGCUUUUAAAAAAGUGUCAACUUGGAAAAUCCAAGACCUAGAUCUGAUGCUUAGGGACCCACAAUGCCAGGCAGCAGUCUGGGAGAUGUCACUUCUGGAGCUUCUAAUGAGAUGCAAAUCACCUAGUGAACUACUGGGGAGCUGGGAAACAAUGUCCUGGGUAAAAGCAGAUAAAAAUGGAAUGAAAGAAUUUCUUUGAAGAUUGGAACGACAUUUUAAGUGCUUGCGGAUAUGGGACACCAGAUAGUGUUGGUUUUACUAAGCUAAUUGUGACGGGGUCUUUGAUUCCCUGCAGCAGGGGACCCUGGGGCACUCGUCUCCAGCUCUGCCUCACUCUUUGAGGAGCUAGUUCCAGUUCUACUGUGAGUGUGCAAGGGGCUGGUCAGCUGUAGCAAAACCAGCACUGGACAUGGGGGAUCAGAAGACCCCGGCACACAUAGUUCAAGUUGUGACACAUAUUGGUAUGUGACCUUAAGUGAAUCCCUUACCCCUCUGCUGCCAUGUUUUAUGUGUAAAAUGAUAAAGAGAGGGGUGGACUGAGGUAGUAAUUUUUAAUGGAGAACAUUGGUGUGGCAAAUUACACAUGUUCUGGCCUGAAGAUUCUGAGCUGCUCUCCUUGGAGUCACAUUCUUUCCCAGUGUGUGAACAUCUGUGUGCAGUGAGAGACAUGCCUGAUGGGGAUCUGUUGCCUGAAGCCAGUGUGAAGGCAGGAAAAGGGUAAGAACCAUUAGCCCAGAGGCCCUUUAAAGUCCCUUCCAACUUUAAGAUGCUGUAACUCCAGAGUAAUCGCCAGUUAACCUCUUGGAGCCUCAUCUGUGAAACUGACAUAAAUGCUUUUGCUUUUCAGCUUGUUGGAAUUUAAAUACGACCAAUCAAAAUGUGUUUAGGCUUCAAAGGAAAAAGUUCUCCAUAAAUACACCAGAAUUUCAUUCUAACAUGAUUCAUUCAUUCAAAGAGCACAGCUGCACAAGGGGAAGACAGCUGCCACAUGGUAACGCAGUCCUGUAAAGAGUCCCAUGUGGUGAGAGACGUGGUUGGGAGUGAGCUUGGAAGUGGAUCCCCAACCCUCGUCCCCAAACUGAGACUUCACAUGAGACUGCAGCUCUGGCCAACAGCUUCACUGUAACCUCACAACAGACCUUGAGCCACAAGCACCCAGCUAAGCUGCAGGGAGACCCCCUGAAACUAUUGCUACGGAAUAAAAGAUGAAAUGCUCCUGAUUAUUGUAAAUACAAAGUU
rnacentral:lncRNA from 1 species